UACGUAGGGGGCAAGCGUUGUCCGGAAUCAUUGGGCGUAAAGCGCACGUAGGCGGCCCGGUAAGUCCGUUGUGAAAGUCAGAGGCUCAACCUCUGGAGGCCAAUGAAUACUGCCGGGCUAGAGUCCGGAAGAGGCGAGUGGAAUUCCUGGUGUAGCGGUGGAAUGCGCAGAUAUCAGGAGGAACACCAAUGGCGAAGGCAGCUCGCUGGGACGGUACUGACGCUGAGGUGCGAAAGCGUGGGGAGCGAACAGG
rnacentral:rRNA from 1 species